UACGGGGGGGCAAGCGUUGUUCGGAAUUACUGGGCGUAAAAGGCUCGUAGGCGGCCAACUAAGUCGGACGUGAAAUCCCCAGGCUUAACCUGGGAACUGCAUCCGAUACUGGAUGGCUUGAAUCCGGGAGAGGGAUGCAGAAUUCCAGGUGUAGCGGUGAAAUGCGUAGAUAUCUGGAGGAAUACCGGUGGCGAAGGCGGCAUCCUGGACCGGCAUUGACGCUGAUGAGCGAAAGCUAGGGGAGCAAACGGG
rnacentral:rRNA from 1 species